rnacentral:rRNA from 1 species
GACGAACGCUGGCGGCGUGCUUAACACAUGCAAGUCGAACGGAAAGGCCCUGCUUUUGUGGGGUGCUCGAGUGGCGAACGGGUGAGUAACACGUGAGUCACCUGCCCUUGACUUUGGGAUAACUUCAGGAAACUGGGGAUAAUACCGGAUAGGAGCUGCUGCUGCAUGGUGGGGGUUGGAAAGUUUCGGAGGUUUGGGAUGGACGCGGGGCUAAUUAGCUUGUUGGUGGGGUAGUGGCUUAGCAAGGCAUUGACGGGUAGCCGGCCUGGGAGGGUGACCGGCCACAUUGGGACUGAGAGACGGCCCAGACUCCUACGGGGGGCAGCAGUGGGGAAUAUUGCACAAUGGGCGGAAGCCUGAUGCAGCAGCUCCGCGUGCGGGAUGACGGCCUUCGGGUUGUAAACCGCUUUCGCCUGUGACGAAGCGUGAGUGACGGUAAUGGGUAAAGAAGCACCGGCUAACUACGUG